rnacentral:misc_RNA from 1 species
GAUGAAGAACGCAGCAAAAUGCGAUAAGUAAUGUGAAUUGCAGAAUUCAGUGCAUCAUCGAAUCUUUGAACGCACAUUGCGCCCGCUGGUAUUCCGGCGGGCAUGCCUGUUCGAGCGUCAUUUCAACCCUCAAGCCCCCGGGUUUGGUGUUGGGGAUCGGCUCUGCCCUUCUGGGCGGUGCCGCCCCCGAAAUACAUUGGCGGUCUCGCUGCAGCCUCCAUUGCGUAGUAGCUAACACCUCGCAGCUGGAACGCGGCGCGGCCAUGCCGUAAAACCCCAACUUCUGAAUGUUGACCUCGGAUCAGGUAGGAAUACCCGCUGAACUUAAGCAUAUCAAUAAGCGGAGGA